UACGGAGGAUCCGAGCGUUAUCCGGAUUUAUUGGGUUUAAAGGGUGCGCAGGCGGGAGAUUAAGUCGGCGGUGAAAUUUUGCAGCUCAACUGUAAAAGUGCCUUCGAAACUGGUUUCCUUGAGUGUAGGUGAAGUAGGCGGAAUUUGUGGUGUAGCGGUGAAAUGCAUAGAUAUCACGAGGAACUCCGAUUGCGAAGGCAGCUUACUAAGCUACUACUGACGCUCAGGCACGAAGGCGUGGGGACCAAACAGGAUUAGAUACCCGGGUAGUCCCUGAG
rnacentral:rRNA from 1 species